CAGAGCCCCACUACUGAAGAAGGACAAGGUAUUUUUCACCUGUUGGAAGAACUUGAAAAUGCUGCUCUCCAGGAUUCUGGAGGUGGUCCUGGCUUCAAUGUGGCUAGGAUCCAGUACUGCCCAGAAGGUAACUCAAGGCCAACAAGUAAUAUCAGUGCAGGUGAAGGAGGCUGUGACCCUGGACUGUACAUAUGACACCAGUGAUAGUCGUUACAGCCUCGUCUGGUACAAGCAGCUGAGCAGUGGGGCAAUGAUUUUCCUUAUUCGUCAGGACUCCUAUAACCAGAAAAAUGCCACAGAAGGUCGCUACUCAUUGAAUUUUCAGAAACGAAGCCAUUCCAUCAACCUUGUCAUCUCACCUUCACAGCUGGAGGACUCUGCAGUGUAUUUCUGUGCCCUGGGUGAGCCCACAGUGAGAGGUGUGUAGGAAGGAGGUGAAUCAAAACCCCAGGGCUCUGCUUGAUGCAUCCACCUGCUGUAGGUACCAAGGCCAGGAAUUGUCAACACAGUCAGGAAGUGGCCAGGGCUGUGGUAGUACAGGUGUAGGUAGUGUUUGAGGAAAAACACUCUAUGAAAAUACCUCUCUAGGUCCAUAGA